UUCAAAACCAAUCUCCUUUUCUAAUAUGAGACAGAAUGUCCAAUGACACUAUAGUCCAAAGUAUUUAUAUAUUAGUUACCAACAUUCUUCAAAAUAUAUUUGUUACGAGCAGGGCGGGCGAGAGCUGUGAGGGAACGGCGCGAGGCCGGUGACGCGAGUGUUAACGAUCUUCACCUGCGAGUUGCACCGGCCUUGAGUCUCUCACGGAGGAGCUCCGGAAGCAUAAAAGGAGGAGCGACGACAGUGAAGGACGAGAGAGGACCAGGCCUGGACUUUAUUUUAUGUUUUAUUAUGUUUGUGUGGCCGGCAGACGUCCGCGAUGGUCUGCCGGCAUUACUUUCAUUUUGUCUUUGUUUAUCUUGUUGCAUGACCGCAAGGGAUGUGAUGAUUUCCGCAAACGGCAUACCGUAGGAUGCUUGCAUAGCGGCGGCUUCCGUCUUCCUUCCCGGGUUUCGGCACCAAUGUAACGUAGUUCGUUCCAGAGCUCCAAAUCUGGAAAGAUCUACCUCCAUCGGGACAUCCGGCUCCUUUUCUCCCGUAAAUCCAUGGAAGUGGACAAUGGUGCUGCCUAUGAGCUCAAGUCAUUCACAGAGUCACCUGCUGACCCCCCCUUUCUCUCCCAGAUGCUAAUUUAAUCUAGUCUAGUCUAUUGAUCUUAAUCCAGCAUAGGGGCCUUACUAUACUAAAUCAAAAUCUGUCAUCUUCUAAUAUGGGAAUUAAAAAUACAGAAGCCCACUAAUGCACACUCACUUGCACAGAAGGACUGUUCACAUUAAUGCCCCUUUCCUAAAAAUACACACCAAUGAAUCGUCAGUGCUUUGGUUUAAAACAACAGAUGGUUGGGAGUUCAUUUAGGUUUAUUACCAGAUGUUUGGAAUGGGGUGAGCAGAAAUGAUGCAGAAAAAAUAAAUCCAUGGACCAAUUUUUUUUUUUUUUUUUAAACAAAAGUCAAGUAACUGAAUUGCUGCAAGGAUGUUUGAAGAGCACUGUGUUUUUUCACCACAACUGGAAGAAAAUGAGUUUUGUUCAAUUACUUCUUUCUUUGUACUGUUACCAACCAGGUAAAUUGUUGCAAUAGAAAAACAAAUAUCUUACUAGCUUAGUGUUUACAUAUUUACUUUUUUUUGUCAUCAGUUAUUUAAUAUUUAAAUUGAACUUUCAUUUACUGCACAUGUGAUGCCUGUUGUGCAAAACAUUAUGAUGUAGUGCAAGAUGUUUCAAUCAUACCAUGUAUUUUUGUCUUUCAAAUUCAGAUCUUAAAUAAAAGAAUUAUAUAUUGUAUCUAUAAAA